ACAUUCAAGUCGAACGGGCAGUAUUCCUUCGGGGGUGCUGCUAGUGGCGGACGGGUGAGUAACGCGUGAGCAACCUGCCUCUGUGAGUGGAAUAACACAGGGAAACUUGUGCUAAUACCGCAUGACGAAGCGAAGCCGCAUGACUUUGCUUCCAAAGAUUUAUCGCACAGAGAUGGGCUCGCGUCCGAUUAGGCAGUUGGUGAGGUAACGGCUCACCAAACCGACGAUCGGUAGCCGGACUGAGAGGUUGAACGGCCACAUUGGAACUGAGAUACGGUCCAGACUCCUACGGGAGGCAGCAGUGGGGAAUAUUGGGCAAUGGGCGCAAGCCUGACCCAGCGACGCCGCGUGAGGGAAGAAGGUCUUCGGAUUGUAAACCUCUUUGACAGGGGACGAAGUAAGUGACGGUACCCUGAAAACAAGCCACGGCUAACUACGUGCCAGCCGCUGC
rnacentral:rRNA from 1 species